GGAUCAUAAGCUGUCUGCGGAGAACGAACUCCAUGUGCCUGGCCUGAAAUGUCACAUUCUAAGAAGUCAUGGAAUUAUUUUCCUUAGUGUCAAAUCACCCUCCUGUCUGUGUUCACAUGAUGCAAGCCUGUUUAUCUAUCAGACUCUAAAAUAAGAAACGCUCAUGUUUUAUUUAGAAGCUCGGUGUGAUGUAAGUAACCUUGGGGUAUAUGUCAUUCGAUCUCUUGAUUUCUAGUUAAGUACCUGGUUUUAAGUAGGAGAGAAGCCUUUAUUUCUCUUUGUUGUGUCACUAGCUGAGACACGAAACAGCC